CAAUAGCGUAUAUUUAAGUUGUUGCAGUUAAAAAGCUCGUAGUUGGAUUUCGGUUGAGAGCGGCCGGUCCGCCGUAAGGUGUGUACUUGGUUGUCUCCUGUCAUCCUUGUGGGAACUGCUCUGGCAUUAAGUUGUCGGGGUUAGGGAACACAUCGUUUACUGUGAAAAAAUUAGAGUGUUUAAAGCAGGCUUAUGCCGUUGAAUACAUUAGCAUGGAAUAAUAAGAUAGGACUUUGGCGUCUAUUUUGUUGGUUUGCACACCAAGGUAAUGAUUAAUAGGGAUAGUUGGGGGUAUUCGUAUUUAAUUGUCAGAGGUGAAAUUCUUGGAUUUAUGAAAGACGAACUUCUGCGAAAGCAUUUACCAAAGAUGUUUNCAUUAA
rnacentral:rRNA from 1 species